CGGGGCUGUUAGGGUGACGACCGUCUUGUAACCAAGCCAAGUGAGCACAGCUCUGAUGCAACCAUGAUAUAAGUACAAGACAUGGAAGUAAGAUUACAAGAUUACUGUGAUUGCCUUGGCCAUGCAGAAGUGCACACAGAGCUGCUGGCUGUCCGGAGGAUGCUGAAGUACACAUACAGCAACAGCUCUCCUAAAGAGCUGAAUUGGAUCACUUGCAAUUUUUACCAUUUCAAGAAGUCC
rnacentral:lncRNA from 1 species